UGGGGAAUAUUGCACAAUGGGGGAAACCCUGAUGCAGCGACGCCGCGUGAGCGAAGAAGGUUUUCGAAUCGUAAAGCUCUGUCCUAUGGGAAGAUAAUGACGGUACCAUAGGAGGAAGCCCCGGCUAACUACGUGCCAGCAGCCGCGGUAAUACGUAGGGGGCAAGCGUUUUCCGGAAUCACUGGGCGUAAAGGGUUCGCAGGCGGAAAUGCAAGUCAGUUGUGAAAGGCAGAGGCUCAACCUCUGUAAGCAAUUGAAACUGUAUUUCUUGAGAUGUGGAGAGGCAAGUGGAAUUCCUAGUGUAGCGGUGAAAUGCGUAGAUAUUAGGAAGAAUACCGGUGGCGAAGGCGACUUGCUGGACACAAACUGACGCUGAGGAACGAAAGCGUGGGUAGCAAACAGG
rnacentral:rRNA from 1 species